rnacentral:rRNA from 1 species
UACGAAGGGGGGCUAGCGUUGCUCGGAAUCACUGGGCGUAAAGGGCGCGUAGGCGGCCAUUCAAGUCAGAGGUGAAAGCCCAAGGCUCAACCUUGGAAUUGCCUUUGAUACUGUUUGGCUUGAGACCGGAAGAGGUUAGUGGAACUGCGAGUGUAGAGGUGAAAUUCGUAGAUAUUCGCAAGAACACCAGUGGCGAAGGCGGCUAACUGGUCCGGUUCUGACGCUGAGGCACGAAAGCUAGGGGAGCAAACAGG